rnacentral:tRNA from 1 species
GGGGGUGUAGCUCAGUGGGAGAGCACCUGCCUUGCAAGCAGGGGGUCGGCGGUUCGAAUCCGCUCAUCUCCACCA